GUUGAAAAGGAGAAAAAGAAAAACAACCCCACCCCGCACGACCCACUAACCCAUGCCCACCACCACCGCCGCUUCGUUCCCCAUGUCGGCGGCCUCUCUACACUGCGCGCCGCCCUCCUCCUUCCCCGACGCCGGCCGCCUCCCUCCACCACGCGCCGCCGUCCUCCUUCCCCGACGCCGGUCGCCGCCCUCCACCACGCGCCGCCCUCCUCCUUCCUCGGUGCUGGCCGCCUCCCUCCACUACGCGCCGCUCGUCCUUCCCCGGUGCCGGUCGCCUCCCUCCACCAUGCGCCGCCCUCCUCCUUCCCCGGCGUCGGCCGUCUGCCUCCACCACGCGCCGCCCUCCUCCUUCCCCUGCGCCGGCCACCUACCUCCAUCGUGCAGAUCCACGCCAUCCCGGCACUCCUCCUUCAUCCUGCUGCGAGAUCUCGUGCGCCGCCCUCUCGCAGUCGGUGAUGCUUCCCCGCCACCACUCCGCCUCCAUCCCGAUGGGGCAACGAUGCUGCGCGUACAGGAAGUUCAUCGCCGCCACCUCAGGCCGUUCAAUGUCGACGUCUUGGACGCGCCAAGCUCCAACGCCAUGGCUUCGGCUUCAACAGCAAAUAAUGGAGCCUGCAGGGGGAGCCACAGGGUCGAGGACAUCUAGUUCGAUAGUCCAACUGCUUGCUCGGCCGUCGGUCACUCAAGGAGCUUGUCAUUCCCUACCAUGAAACCAUCAAGCGUGUGCUAAUUGUGACUGAGGUUGCACUGCCCAGCAAUACAGGCAGCAAUUUCACACUACAGCUCCACCCAAUACUGUAAAAAUGCAUGAGUCCAAUGCCCUGUGGCCUAGCUGACCGAAUUAGCAUGCAAGCUUCUCCUUUCACCAUGAAAUAAAUGAUAGAUUCAACAGUUGCUAGGUAAAUCGCAAAUCUAUUUACUACAUGUAUCACUACCCUACAUUCAUGUUGUCAGAAAAGUCCAUGUAUUACUACCAUGGGAGUUCAAAGAAAGGUCGUCUAUGAAACAGUAUAACUUGUGAGUUUCUUGCAGACUAAUGAUGAGUUACUAGAUAAACUUAGGCACCACAGUCCAUUCACUGUCCGUAUAACACCGCCGCCAGAGGCCGUUCAAUGUCCCAACGCCUCCUUCCUAGUCAUCGUGAGGUACGCCCUACUCGAAAUCUUUCCUCUCCAUCUCCCGACAGUGAAGAUUUUCAUGCCCUGCGUUCGAACUGCCAUUUUAUUUUGUAUUGAACUAGCGCUGCUCUUGCUUCAGACCUGAGGGAAGAAGGAAGAACCUCUCUCUUGUAGGCAGUAAUAUUGCUCUCUCAUAUCAUCUCUCAUCUCGUAGGCAGUAAAUAUUUUGAUGAAUGUGUUACUCAAAAAACAAAAUGUUGUAUUGACAUUCAGUAGCUUAGAGAGAGUAGCAUAGAGAAACGUUGUUGUGUUUUGGAUGACAAAGAACACAUGUGACACUAAGUCCAGGUAUUUCUACAUGAGGAGUACAAAAUUACUUUUACUGAGAGUCCACUUGAAUCCUUGAUAGCUACUGGCCAUAGGAACUUAACCCAGAAAAAAUGUGCAAAAAAGAACCAUUUUGUACUACCAUUAGUCGUAGAUGCUGUGUAAUGUUUUAUUUUUUUGCUACCCUAGCAUUGAAUUAUCACAUCAUUUUCAAGAGCCGCACUCUCAUUAUUUAUUUCUUGUACUGUUAGUUUUAUUUUCAGAACCGAACUUGUACAGGGUACAUGAGUUCCAAUAGUGGUCUCCGUUGCAAUUUUUUUACAUAAUCAAGCAUUCUUGUUGUGUUGCCUUUCUUUCCAGAUAUAUAGAUUGCCAGUUUUGAAUCCGAUUCUCAAAUAGACAAUCAUAAUUCUAUUGCCAGUUCUGAAAUAAAGAAAUGUUUGCGUAACAGUACCAUAACAGCACCAAAACGAAUCCUCAGCCUUGGUAACUUACUGGCUUUGAUCUUCCAGGGCAGCAUUAUGAGAUCCUUGGUUUACUUACAGGUAUGCCAUCAGUUCAAACCUAACACAGAAACUUGUGCCGCUACUACUUUGCCACCUAGAGUAGUACUGCUACUACUUAUCAUGUUGAUAAAACCUCGCGAACAGUAAAUCUAUUUGAUUAACGAUUCUGUAGGGAGAAAAAGUUCACCAAUAUACAAUCUCUAAUCUCAAUAUACCAAACUUUUUGUUUAGUAGUUGGCACUGUUCAAGUUUAUUUCUUGAUGUAUACAUGAUGUCCAAAUUCUUCUUUCAGUUCGGUUCAAUUUAUAAACUUCAUUCAGUUCGGCGAGGUGGAGAUUGGGGCACGGUGGGGUGUGGCCGUGUGUGUGGAGAUGGCCCGCUGCAACGUCACCGUCCGGAUCCCGCUCUUCAGUGUAUGUUUUGUAUGCUUUUUAGUUCACCUACUUAACAACUGCAAGUCUAAUUUCCUCCUUGUUUCCAUGUUCUUCCUGUAGCACAACAGGUGUUAUGCCUAUAUGGAUCAAAAGAAGCACGUGUUCUUUCCUAUUCUUACAAAUGAACCUCCACUUCUGUUCUGUUUGAACUUACUUGGCAUAAAAAUUAGUAUUUGUUCUACUGUAAAAAAACAUAAAAUGAAAUGUCUUGGUGCAUGAUCGAAGGUGCAUAUGGAAGCAUCCCCAUGCCAAUUGCAAUGGUUUCCAGGACGUGACAUCCAUACUUUUGGUUAUGAACUAAUGAUGUAUUAGUGCAUGAACUAAUGCAUCACAUAUGUUGUUUCUUUCCAGGCUACUCUAGAUUAGAACAAGUUAAAAGUACUUAGUUUCUCAAUAGUCUGGUCCUCCUCACCAGAUGUUAUGUAGUACACAUCUUUUUAAUACAAAUGUUUUAAAAGUUUCUUUUUGAACUUCUCCCAAUUAAUAUACCUGAACUUGAUUAUCUUUCUAACAUGUACAUAUACCAACUUCAUUAGAUUUUGUGUCAGUGCUUGUAACACAAUCAGUUCAGAUCUCGAUAGACCACAAGUUCAAGUUCACUAGUAUUUGUAAAUGUUGGUAGCAGUACUAGUAUUUAGAAAUUUGUAACCUAAGAACUAAGCUUGCAUCUUGUUACUUCUAUGGAAGCAUUGACCUCGUAAUUUUAUUGGACCAACCACUAACAUAAGAAUUAGACAUGGUGCUCAGUGUAUUCUCUCAAUCUUGGUUCUUCUUAUAGUGCUUAUAAUCUUGACAUCUUUGAUGAAUCCAGCCCGAACUGAAGCAUGUCGGCGAGCCGGGCCUCAAAAGGCCCUUCUCCCGCCACUGUCUCGAUCUUGAACUGAUGUUGUUGUCAUCUGUCUACCUCCUUCCUCGGUUGAUGAAGAUGCUGAUUUUACAAAAGGAUCAGUGAAGCAUUGGGCAAUGGACACACUAUCUUCAUGAGAUGGUGUAGACAUACUUCCAUUAGUUGAAGAUGAUACAUGGAGCAGUGACCGCUCAACACUUCUUUUUGUGAUAAAUGUUAUUAUGAUCUAUUCUAUGUAUUAUAUUGUAUGAUCGGGAGAACUCAGAAGUUCAUGUGUUGUCAGUGAAAAAUUUCAAAACAUUUUGUUUAGUAAGAACUUUUUUUAUCAAA